CCUACGGGAGGCAGCAGUGAGGAAUAUUGGUCAAUGGGCGGGAGCCUGAACCAGCCAAGCCGCGUGAGGGAAGAAGGUACAGCGUAUCGUAAACCUCUUUUGUCAGGGAACAAAGGCGGGGACUAGUCCCCGGAUGAGGGUACCUGAAGAAAAAGCAUCGGCUAACUCCGUGCCAGCAGCCGCGGUAAUACGGAGGAUGCGAGCGUUAGCCGGAUUUAUUGGGUUUAAAGGGUGCGCAGGCGGCCUGUGAAGUCAGCGGGAAAAGCCCGGGGGUCAACCCCGGCGAGCCGUUGAAACUGGGGGGCUGGAGUUGGAGAGAAGUACGCGGAAUGCGCGGUGUAGCGGUGAAAUGCUUAGAUAUCGCGCAGAACCCCGAUUGCGAAGGCAGCGUACCGGCUCCACACUGACGCUGAGGCACGAAAGCGUGGGUAUCGAACAGGAUUAGAUACCCGAGUAGUC
rnacentral:rRNA from 1 species